ensembl:lncRNA
UGCCGUUAGCUCAAAGGGGAGCCAGAAGUACUGGAGAUCUCAUAUAAGAGACACUCCAUUCCAGGUUAUGCAGGGACACCUCUCAAGACUCCUGAUACACUGCAAGACAUGAGUGACCGAGGAACAUAAGGAACCUUCUUGCUAGGAAAACACCUCCCUCUUUCCAACCCAUCACUUUUAUCCUACCUUAAAGCUGGAUGAUGGCAGAGCUCAGAUCAGCUAUGGCAGAGCACGAGGAGCCCGUCACAAGCAUCUGGAUAGGUCAACAGCUUCCAGCAGGGCAGCCUGGCCUCAGGUGAGCAUCAUCAUAACACCUUCAUUAAGAGCACCUGGGAACCAAAAAAACAACCAAAAAAACAACCAACAAAAAACUGGCAGGUGGAUAUAUUGCCUAUCUUCAACCAUUUACCUGCUGCUUGCAGCGUGAAGAGGUGCUUCAAAACCGGUCUACUGCAGAGGGUGUUUUGUGGGGGUUAUACAGCUCCUGUGCCACCAACCCUGAGUGAGCUGGAUCCCCUCAAGCCAGAAAGGCAGGCAGAACUUGCAUGAGCAGUCCUU